rnacentral:rRNA from 1 species
GACGUAGGGCGCGAGCGUUGUCCGGAUUUAUUGGGCGUAAAGAGCUCGUAGGCGGUUUGUCGCGUCGAAUGUGAAAACCCGGGGCUCAACCCCGGGCCUGCAUUCGAUACGGGCAGACUAGAGUUCGGUAGGGGAGUCUGGAAUUCCUGGUGUAGCGGUGAAAUGCGCAGAUAUCAGGAGGAACACCGGUGGCGAAGGCGGGACUCUGGGCCGAUACUGACGCUGAGGAGCGAAAGCGUGGGGAGCAAACAGGA